UUGUCACCCGGAGUUUCCCUGAUCACUUCAUUGGCAUCGAUCUGUAUUCACUCAUUCAUGCACACAUCCAAUGCCACUGAAGUGUUUGGGGGAACUCUAGUCGCCAC
rnacentral:pre_miRNA from 1 species